rnacentral:rRNA from 1 species
AGUGAACGCUGGCGGUAGGCCUAACACAUGCAAGUCGAACGGCAGCACAGUAAGAGCUUGCUCUUACGGGUGGCGAGUGGCGGACGGGUGAGGAAUACAUCGGAAUCUACUUUUUCGUGGGGGAUAACGUAGGGAAACUUACGCUAAUACCGCAUACGACCUACGGGUGAAAGCAGGGGAUCUUCGGACCUUGCGCGAUUGAAUGAGCCGAUGUCGGAUUAGCUAGUUGGCGGGGUAAAGGCCCACCAAGGCGACGAUCCGUAGCUGGUCUGAGAGGAUGAUCAGCCACACUGGAACUGAGACACGGUCCACACUCCUACGGGAGGCAGCAGUGGGGAAUAUUGCACAAUGGGCGCAAGCCUGAUCCAGCCAUACCGCGUGAGUGAAGAAGGCCUUCGGGUUGUAAAGCUCUUUUGUUGGGAAAGAAAAGCAGCAGGUUAAUACCUCGCUGUUCUGACGGUACCCAAAGAAUAAGCACCGGCUAACUUCGUG